rnacentral:rRNA from 1 species
UACAGAGGUCCCAAGCGUUGUUCGGAUUCACUGGGCGUAAAGGGUGCGUAGGCGGUCGGGUAAGUCUGAUGUGAAAUCUCACAGCUUAACUGUGAAACUGCAUUGGAUACUAUCCGGCUCGAGGAAUGGAGGGGAGACUGGAAUACUUGGUGUAGCAGUGAAAUGCGUAGAUAUCGGGAGGAACACCUGUGGCGAAAGCGGCAUACUGGACCACAACUGACGCUGAGGCGCGAAAGCUAGGGGAGCAAACAGG